UACGGGGGGGGCUAGCGUUGUUCGGAAUUACUGGGCGUAAAGGGCGCGUAGGCGGCCUACUAAGUCGGACGUGAAAUCCCUCGGCUCAACCGGGGAACUGCGUCCGAUACUGGUGGGCUCGAAUCCGGGAGAGGGAUGUGGAAUUCCAGGUGUAGCGGUAAAAUGCGUAGUUAUCUGGAGGAACACCGGUGGCGAAGGCGGCAUCCUGGACCGGUAUUGACGCUGAUGCGCGAAAGCCAGGGGAGCAAACGGG
rnacentral:rRNA from 1 species